ACGUCCUUAUAUUUAAGCCUGUGUCAGGUAAAAAUGUUAAGAGUGAAGUGGAAAUGCAUUAUACAAAAACAAUUGUCAACUAAAAUUUUAAAAUACCUAACUAAAAUAUAUUUAAGCGAAACGAGUUCUACCCUUCUAUUUUUAUAGGUGGAAUAAAAUCGUUGAAUUUUAUUUAUCUUUAUCAACUGUCGAACCUUAUUUGUUCUU